AGGCGACUUUGCUAUAAAUGGCAGCUAGCUCUACACUAUUUCGGGCAUUCGCUAACAAUCAGUGUGCAGAUAACUAGCGCAAACGUGCCGAGAUAUCUUGUUUAUUAUAAAAAUAAACGCUUGUGUUGUGCCAUGGCUUAUAUGGUGAUGACGUUUGAGAUUGUAAAUUUACGGGCCACAGAUGUGUCUAUGGUAAGGCCGACCUGACGAGAUAGCUGCCUACUGAGGUUUGAUUGGAUAUGGACAUUGUUUAUUUCAGAAGGAAAAUGUUUGGAGUGGAAUUGUUUGGAAGACAAUCUUGGGACAAUUUUGCUCUUUGGGUCUUUGUGCCAACCAUGCCAGCUAUCGUAGGGUGCUCUGGGAACUUCUUAGAUCUGUUUACUGUAUGUACACUUACUGAAAUAAGCAUUUUGUUUACAUAAAAUCCCUUGUCAUUUCACCACUAGGUUUGAAACCCAGACAGCACGAAGCAUCUUGCCGACGUCAAAAUCAGAUCAACAGACUGGGACAUCAGCCUUCUCUUGGGAAUAGGCCAGAUAUGCCAUAACAAGAAAUGGUGUUUUGCCCCUGCGGUUGUGAAGAGGAUGCUGUGGAGGUGGCAGCAUGAACGUGUCACACAGACAUUGGCUAAACUACUCGGCUUCUACACUUGCCCUCAGAGUUCACAUAUGGUGACGUGCACAUGUGUCCAGUCAGGUUCAGACUGAUGCUGGUAACAAGAGGAGAACAUGCUAAUUGAUGCUGUGUUGCUGCCAGUCCACGGAUGUACACGAAUGGCUCACCUGGAGGAGGAGGGCGGUCAACGACAUUACUCAUUGACAACAAAUGUGCUCUACGAUGACAUUUCCAGCAUGUCCAACUCAUCAGCAUCAGGGGAGAUUCGGUGGAGGUGGUGCACCAUCCAGGACCAGUCAUGGGCCACCAAAACCUCUGCAAAAUCUACACUUCUUGUGAACCCUGUAGAAGACACUACAACCACAAAACUGCUAAUAAACCAUCACAUACUGCGUCACA